GUCAGCUAUGUAGACUCUAGCUGCCAAAGGCGCUUCUCCUUCUGAACAGAGCGCUUUGCUCAGCCAGUGUAGACAUGGCCUGAU
ensembl:miRNA MIR1251 microRNA 1251